GCGGGCCCCGCCUCGUGAUCGUCUUCUCACCGCUCCCGAGGCAGGGCGGGAAAGAGGAGCGGCCCCCGGGUGGACGUGACACCCGGGGGCCGCUU
rnacentral:ncRNA from 1 species